UCGAAACAGAGGUGGGUAUGUCUGUCGGAGAGAAGAGUGCCAGCACUGAGAGCUGAGAGCAGUGUCCAUCUCUGUUAGAGAAAAAAAGAAAUUGUGUUGAUAUUCAUCAAGAAAACAUCAAGAACAAGGCAACACAGCUGCACAAAUUAACUGCAAAGAAGAAUCAAUGUUCCAUUCUUGAAACCAAGCAAGACUGUCAUCUAUAAAUACUACACCUUUGGAAUCUUGUGGUUAUAUUGACUGGUUGCAUUCACAGACGACUUGUGUCUACCUGUAUGUUGUAGUUGUGGUGGUGAUGGUGAAGGUGGUAGCAUUAGUACCAGGUCCUGAACACAAGGUCUUCUGUAUAUUAGCUAUAUGAAGAAUAAUAAGAUAAUUUCAUCAAGUGAAGAUAAUAGUCAUGAAGAAAAUCAGAAUAAAAUAGGGGAAACACAGAAAAAAUAAUAUCACAUGAGAGUCAGAAGAAAGAUAUGAACGGGAGUCUAAGAACAUGGAAAAUAUCCUACUCUCUCAGAAAUAGGAAAUUUCCAAGUUUGAGGAAAGAAAAGAAAGGAGCAAAGAAGUUGACACAAAUGUUAUCAGCAAAUUCAGAUCCCCAGGAACUCUUCUUCAUGGCAUACAAUUGCUCUUCUUGGCCUUGAAAUGACACUUCAUAUGUUCAUUUCCUUUCAGCCAACAGGAAAUACAUUUCUUCCAUUAUGCUUGAAGACCUGCAGUAGAGUUUAAUGUAAGGAGAUCUUACACAACAAAGCAUCAUCAUAGAACAUGUUGUCUACUUCACAACUAGCAUAUAAUGUGAGUUACUUGAAUGGAAGUGAGUCACAAACACGUUUGAACCAUUGUCACAGCUGAGACAGGAAUCUACAAGUGAAAGAUAUAAUACAGUGUGCCUUCAAUACCAUGUUACUGGUUCCAAAU